UACAGAGGGUGCGAGCGUUAAUCGGAAUUACUGGGCGUAAAGCGUGCGCAGGCGGUUGUGCAAGACAGAUGUGAAAUCCCCGGGCUCAACCUGGGAACUGCAUUUGUGACUGCACGGCUAGAGUGUGUCAGAGGGGGGUAGAAUUCCACGUGUAGCAGUGAAAUGCGUAGAUAUGUGGAGGAAUACCGAUGGCGAAGGCAGCCCCCUGGGAUAACACUGACGCUCAUGCACGAAAGCGUGGGGAGCAAACAGG
rnacentral:rRNA from 1 species